CGUAAGGCGCCGAAUGAGUCAUUAUAAAAUUAACAUCAUCCGAUCCCUAGUCGGCAUAGUUUAUGGUUAAGACUACGACGGUAUCUGAUCGUCUUCGAUCCCCCUAACUUUUCGUUCUUGAUUAAUGAAAACAUCCUUGGCAAAUGCUUUCGCAGUAGUUAGUCUUCAAUAAAUCCAAGAAUUUCACCUCUGACAAUUGAAUACUAAUGCCCCCAACUAUCCCUAUUAAUCAUUACGUCGAUCCUAGAAACCAACAAAAUAGAAUCAAACGUCCUAUUUCAUUAUUCCAUGCUAAUGUAUUCAAGCGUGAGCCUGCUUUAAACACCCUAAUUUUUUCAAAGUAACAGUCCUGAUUUCCCAAGACACCAAAUUAAUGACAUCAAGGUUCGUCAGAAGGGAGAAACCAAAAAUAUCAGUACGUACCGAGGCACGACCAACAUAUUAGUCCCGAAAUUCAACUACGAGCUUUUUAACUGCAACAACUUUAAUAUACGCUAUUGAGCUGGAAUUACCGCGGCUG
rnacentral:rRNA from 1 species